rnacentral:rRNA from 1 species
AGGGUGAAGGAUUUACUCCGUAAGCUCUGGCUGGUCGAAGAUACCAGGCCGCUGCGACUGUUUAUUAAAAACACAGCACUCUGCAAACACGAAAGUGGACGUAUAGGGUGUGACGCCUGCCCGGUGCCGGAAGGUUAAUUGAUGGGGUUAGCGCAAGCGAAGCUCUUGAUCGAAGCCCCGGUAAACGGCGGCCGUAACUAUAACGGUCCUAAGGUAGCGAAAUUCCUUGUCGGGUAAGUUCCGACCUGCACGAAUGGCGUAACGAUGGCGGCGCUGUCUCCACCCGAGACUCAGUGAAAUUGAAAUCGCUGUGAAGAUGCAGUGUAUCCGCGGCUAGACGGAAAGACCCCGUGAACCUUUACUGUAGCUUUGCACUGGACUUUGAGCCUGCUUGUGUAGGAUAGGUGGGAGGCUUUGAAGCGUGGACGCCAGUUCGCGUGGAGCCAUCCUUGAAAUACCACCCUGGCAUGCUUGAGGUUCUAACUCUGGUCCGUAAUCCGGAUCGAGGACAGUGUAUGGUGGGCAGUUUGACUGGGGCGGUCUCCUCCUAAAGAGUAACGGAGGAGUACGAAGGUGCGCUCAGACCGGUCGGAAAUCGGUCGCAGAGUAUAAAGGCAAAAGCGCGCUUGACUGCGAGACAGACACGUCGAGCAGGUACGAAAGUAGGUCUUAGUGAUCCGGUGGUUCUGUAUGGAAGGGCCAUCGCUCAACGGAUAAAAGGUACUCCGGGGAUAACAGGCUGAUACCGCCCAAGAGUUCAUAUCGACGGCGGUGUUUGGCACCUCGAUGUCGGCUCAUCACAUCCUGGGGCUGAAGCCGGUCCCAAGGGUAUGGCUGUUCGCCAUUUAAAGUGGUACGCGAGCUGGGUUUAGAACGUCGUGAGACAGUUCGGUCCCUAUCUGCCGUGGACGUUUGAGAUUUGAGAGGGGCUGCUCCUAGUACGAGAGGACCGGAGUGGACGAACCUCUGGUGUUCCGGUUGUCACGCCAGUGGCAUUGCCGGGUAGCUAUGUUCGGAAAAGAUAACCGCUGAAAGCAUCUAAGCGGGAAACUUGCCUCAAGAUGAGAUCUCACUGGGAACUUGAUUCCCCUGAAGGGCCGUCGAAGACUACGACGUUGAUAGGCUGGGUGUGUAAGCGUUGUGAGGCGUUGAGCUAACCAGUACUAAUUGCCCGUGAGGCUUGACCAUAUAACACCCAAACA